CCUACGGGUGGCAGCAGUGGGGAAUAUUGGGCAAUGGGCGCAAGCCUGACCCAGCAACGCCGCGUGAAGGAAGAAGGCUUUCGGGUUGUAAACUUCUUUUCUGAGGGACGAAGAAAGUGACGGUACCUCAGGAAUAAGCCACGGCUAACAACGUGCAAGCAGCCGCGGUAAUCCGGAGGGGGCAAGCUUUAUCCGGAUUCAUUGGGUGUAAAGGUCGAGUAGGCGGGAAAGCAAGGCAGAUGUGAAAACUCAGGGCUCAACCCUGACCCUGCCUUUGGAACUGUUUUUCUUGAGUGCUGGGGAGGCAAUCGGAAUUCCGUGUGUAGCGGUGAAAUGCGUAGAUAUACGGAGGAACACCAGUGGCGAAGGCGGAUUGCUGGACAGUAACUGACGCUGAGGCGCGAAGGCGUGGGGAGCAAACAGGAUUAGAUACCCCAGUAGUC
rnacentral:rRNA from 1 species